UUAUUAUGAGAGUUUGAUCCUGGCUCAGGACGAACGCUGGCGGCGUGCCUAAUACAUGCAAGUCGAACGCUUCUUUCCUCCCGAGUGCUUGCACUCAAUUGGAAAGAGGAGUGGCGGACGGGUGAGUAACACGUGGGUAACCUACCCAUCAGAGGGGGAUAACACUUGGAAACAGGUGCUAAUACCGCAUAACAGUUUAUGCCGCAUGGCAUAAGAGUGAAAGGCGCUUUCGGGUGUCGCUGAUGGAUGGACCCGCGGUGCAUUAGCUAGUUGGUGAGGUAACGGCUCACCAAGGCCACGAUGCAUAGCCGACCUGAGAGGGUGAUCGGCCACACUGGGACUGAGACACGGCCCAGACUCCUACGGGAGGCAGCAGUAGGGAAUCUUCGGCAAUGGACGAAAGUCUGACCGAGCAACGCCGCGUGAGUGAAGAAGGUUUUCGGAUCGUAAAACUCUGUUGUUAGAGAAGAA
rnacentral:rRNA from 1 species